UACAGAGGGGCAAGCGUUGUUCGGAAUUACUGGGCGUAAAGGGCGCGUAGGCGGCCUGCUAAGUCGAACGUGAAAUCCCCGAGCUCAACUCGGGAACUGCGUCCGAUACUGGCAGGCUUGAAUCCGGGAGAGGGAUGCGGAAUUCCAGGUGUAGCGGUGAAAUGCGUAGAUAUCUGGAGGAACACCGGUGGCGAAGGCGGCAUCCUGGACCGGCAUUGACGCUGAGGCGCGAAAGCCAGGGGAGCAAAGCGGG
rnacentral:rRNA from 1 species